CUUAACUUUAAUCAUUUUAUAUCAAAAUUAAGUAAAAUUUUAACACGAAAUAGGAAUAGAACUCUUCAUCAAAAUUAAUAUGUCGGAGAUUAUAAAGGUGGUUUAUACUCCUGCUUCACGAGGACGUGUAAUUUGUCA